AAACUCAAAAAAUAGGUCUCAGUUCGGACUGCAGGCUGCAACCCGCCCUGCACGAAGUUGGAAUUGCUAGUAAUCGUAGGUCAGCAUACUACGGUGAAUACGUUCCCGGGCCUUGUACACACCGCCCGUCAAACCAUGAGAGUUGGCAACACCCGAAGUCGGUAGUCUAACCGUCAAGGAGGACGCCCGCCGAAGGUGGGGGUUGAUGAUUAGGGUUAAGUCGUAACAAGGUACC
rnacentral:rRNA from 1 species